UGCGUAGGCGGUAUCGUAUGUCGGGUGUGAAAUCCCACGGCCCAACCGUGGAACUGCAUCCGAAACUACGGAACUAGAGUGCAGGAGGGGAGAGUGGAAUUCUUGGUGUAGCGGUGAAAUGCGUUGAUAUCAAGAAGAACACCGGUGGCGAAGGCGGCUCUCUGGAAUGUUACUGACGCUGAGGCACGAAAGCUGGGGGAGCGAACA
rnacentral:rRNA from 1 species